CUGACAGCAUUGCCCUACACAGGGGAUUUCUACUCUUCCUUUACAAAGCUGGUUUCUUCCAAACACUAAGAUCUCUUACAGGGACUGAAUGAUAAAUGGAUGAAUGAGGAGGAUGAUGAAGGGGGAAGGUGAUGGAAGAAUUAGGACAAGGAGGCUAUGCAGGAGAUUGAAAACAUGGGCAUAAUUCCUAGCUCCCUUCAGAUUGCUAAUGGCUAGAGGGUGCCCAGUAUGGAACAUGAGGCCAGGCUGGCCAGUGUGACCAGGGACACCAUGGACACCUGAGACUUCUUAGCAGGAUUUCUUGAAGAUUAUGAUAAGA
rnacentral:lncRNA from 1 species